rnacentral:lncRNA from 1 species
CCGCCUCCUAGUCAGGCGAGAGUUCAUUAUCCAAUCAUUAUGAUGUGUGUUUUUAUUUGGUGGAGAUAACACAGUUCUGCCAUUUUUUGAAUGCUUCUGAAGCUCUUGGAGGCUAGGAUGAAGUCUUCUUGAGUAUGACUGGAAUUGCCCUCUGGGAGGAGAAGCUAACAAAGCCUCCACACAGCCUAAUUUCCUCUUGCUUGUCCUCAGCUGUCACAGUCCUCCAAGCCACUCCCUGUGACAGCCCUAAGACUGCAGUCACUUUACAGUUUCAAACAGCUUCCUCCUUAUAGGCUUCAGAUAUUUGACCUUCUUUUUUAAAACAAAAAGCUGUCCCCUCCUACUCUAUACCCUACGAUCCAUUUCUCUCCAAGAGGGGCUCUCCCCAGGGUAGACAACAAAGCACAAUGUGACUCUCCCACCUCCUCUCUUUCUUGUUACACCCCAGAAUAAGCACCCAGGCCCUUCCAUUUUAAGACAGUGUUAUUAAUCGCUAUGGAUAAUGAGAUAGAGAUAAUGACAACAAGUGUGAAAAGGUUACCAAAAAUUCAAGAAAUCCAAGAGUUGUCCUAGUUAUUUUCCUUGGUAUAUAAUUAUUGAUUCUCUUUUUUAUCUAGUAUACUCAGAAACUAGGGUGAGGUCUUUUGGGCUUUUAGUGUCUUCUGCAACUUAUGUUUUAAUAUUAGUCCCUGGUGUGGGGCUUUCCAGGUUGACCAAUCUGGCAUUCCUAUGAGGGCCCUAUUUGGGGACAAAGAUUAGGAAUACCUACAGUUUCCUUCUCUGCUCUUCAGGCUAUUCCACUCUGAAUUCGCAGGUAUGUCCUCACUCUUCCUGAGACUAUCGCAGUCUGCCAACCCCACAAGUCUUUCUUUUUUUCCCUCCAAUAACCACAAAGGGAAAAAGAUUUUCCUUAUUUGCUUCCUGAAAACUCUUCCCCAGGAAAGUGCCUGUCCUCUCCAGACCAGCAGUCCUAUUAAUCACUGUUCUGGGAAAUCAGCUAUCAUGUCUGCAGCACACUCACCAGUCAGUGAAAUUACGGUGCUCACCCCCUCAGCCUUCCUCACCACAAAACACCACCUUCCAACAGAAAGAAUCGCUGUCACGGGGUGGAGGAUAAAAAGGAUGAAGAAUGUUGCUAAGAGAAAGCCGCAAGGCUCCUGUAUGGUGUUUCUGGGAUGACACAAGAGGCUCUAACAAGACACCUUUUAUCAGCCUGAAGAAGAGGGGGCAUUUAUCAUGACAGACUAAUUACUCACUUUGAGUUAGUGUUAUAUCUGUGUAUGUACCCAAUGUGGCUAUAUAGUAACGAGAGGUUUUUAAACAAAUAAUCCAUACCUUACAUGUCCACAUAAAUGCUCCACAGUAGUUAGUCACCUUAAAUUUAAAUGCUGAUUUCGGUGUGUCCGACCGCCCCCCUACCUCCUCAUUGCUCACAGCAUUUCAGGUACAUCCCUUUUGAAAUUACCUUCACAGCUUGCAAUAUAUUCUUUUGAAUAUCCUUAAUGGUGACAAUGGUUCACCAGUUACAGUGUCAUAUUUUUGGUUUUGUUUUAAGUCAAAAAUCAUUUUGAGCUAAAUCCAUGAUGAAGGAUUAAAUUGGGUAAAAAUAAUUGAAAAUGCCAACUAAAUGCCAGUCACUAAGCUAAGUGUAUUUUAUAAAUCAUCUCACCUAAUUUAAUUCCCACCAGAAACCUAUAGAGUGGAUCUUAGUGUCCCAUUUAAUGCUUCUUUAAUAAUAAUAAAAUAUGUACAUAUUCAUUGAAAAAAGUUUGG